AGAGUUUGAUCCUGGCUCAGGAUGAACGCUGGCGGCGUGCCUAAUACAUGCAAGUCGAGCGAUGAGGCUCCUUCGGGAGUACAUCAGCGGCGAACGGGUGAGUAACACGUAGGUGACUUGCCCCGAAGAUGGGGAUAACCUCUGGAAACGGGGGCUAAUACCCAAUGUGCUCGGUGAUUCGGUUGAUCGAGUAAAGCUCCGGCGCUUCGGGAGAGGCCUGCGGCCCAUCAGCUAGUUGGUAGGGUAACGGCCUACCAAGGCAGAGACGGGUAGGGGGCGUGAGGGCGCGGACCCCCACACUGGCACUGCGACACGGGCCAGACUCCUACGGGAGGCAGCAGUAAGGAAUAUUGCGCAAUGGACGAAAGUCAGACGCAGCGACGCCGCGUGGGCGAUGAAGGCCUUCGGGUUGUAAAGCCCUUUUAUGGGGGAAGAGAAAAAGGACGGUACCCCAUGAAUAAGUCCCGGCUAACUACGUGCCAGCAGCCGCGGUAAAACGUAGGGGACAAGCGUUAUCCGGAUUCACUGGGCGUAAAGAGCGUUGAGGCGGUUCCGUAAGUUGGGCGUGAAAGCUCCGGGCUUAACCCGGAGAUGUCGUUCAAUACUGCGGGGCUUGAGGACAGCAGAGGAAGGUGGAAUUCCCGGUGUAGUGGUGAAAUGCGUAGAUAUCGGGAGGAACACCCGUGGCGAAGGCGGCCUUCUGGGCUGUUCCUGACGCUGAAGCGAAAGCUAGGGGAGCGAACGGGAUUAGAUACCCCGGUAGUCCUAGCUGUAAACGAUGGAUGCUGGGUGUGGGGGGUGUAAAUU
rnacentral:rRNA from 1 species